AUGGAUUGGCCGGCUCUCACUCUCACCAGCUUCACGGCGGUCACAAUCCUUAUCUUCCUACCGUUGAGUGCUUCCGACGAUCGGCUUGUCCCUGGCAGGGCGCUGUCCCCAGGUAACUUCAUCCUCUCCGAUGAUGGUGGAUUCGCCUUGGGCUUCUUCAGCCCCUCCAACUCCACUCCGACCAGCCUGUACCUAUGCAUAUGGUACACCGGCAUCCCCGAGCUCACAGUCGUGUGGGUCGCCAAUCGAGAAACCCCAGCCACCAACACCACUUCCUCUCCACCAACGUUCUCCCUCACCAACAACUCUAAUCUGGUUCUCUUCGAUGGUAAUGGUGGCCGCUGUGUCCUUUGGACAACGACCAACGUGGCCACCGCCGUGGGCUCAUCUACCUCAACGCUACGGAUAAAAAAUAGCACACAUGGCACCGCUGAGCAUCUGGUAUCCUGGAAAGGCCCUAACGACCCUUCGUUGGGGCGCUUCUCCUAUGGCAGUGACCCGAACAGAUCCCUACAAGUAUUCCUAUGGGACGGGGAGCACUCGGUGUCUCGCAGCGCCCCAUGGACAGGGUACCUAGUGAUGAGCCAAAGCCAACAACUUGGGGGCGCAAGGGCAACUAACGUCAGCGAUUUUAUCAUCUAUGUGGCCUUCGUCGACAAGGACGAUGAGAUGUACAUCACCUAUAGCCUCUCCGACGGCGCCCCACGCACCAGGUUAGUGCUCACCUACUAUGGCGAGUAUCAGCUCCAGAGUUGGAGCAACAAGUCAUCAGCGUGGGCUGUCCUUUGGAAGUGGCCGUCUGCUGAAUGCAACCGCUACAAUUAUUGUGGCCCAAAUGGAUACUGCGAUGAGACAUCCACCACGCCUGCCGUGCCAGCAUGCAAGUGUCUCGACGGCUUUGAGCCGACUAACACGGAGGAGUGGACUGCAGGCAGAUUCCCGGCAGGGUGCCAAAGGAAGAAGGCGCCGCGAUGCAGUGACGGAUUCUUAGCCUUGCCGGGGAUGAAGUCACCUGACAUGUUUUCUUCCGUGGGCGGGGACAUGAGUACGUUCGAGGAGUGCACAGCAGAGUGCAGAGUGCAGCCGCAAUUGCUCGUGCGUGGCAUACACGUUCAGCAACCUGAGCACUGGCAGGUCUGGAGGAGACGUGACCAGAUGCUUGGUGUGGAAUGGGGAGUUGGUUGA
rnacentral:rRNA from 1 species